rnacentral:rRNA from 1 species
CCCCUAGAUGUUCUGGGCCGCACGCGCGCUACACUGAACAGUUCAACAAGUCUUAACCUUGGCCGAUAGGUCUGGGUAAUCUUUGAACGCUGUUCGUGAUUGGGAUAGACCUUUGCAAUUAUGGGUCUUCAACGAGGAAUUCCUAGUAAACGCAAGUCAUCAGCUUGCAUUGAUUACGUCCCUGCCCUUUGUACACACCGCCGUCGCACCUACCGAUUGAAUGGUCCGGUGAAAUCUCGGGACGGCGGCUUGGUCGCUUGCGUCCGACUGCUGAAACUUGAUUAAACCAUAUCAUUUAGAGGAAGGUGAANUCGUANCA